rnacentral:tRNA from 1 species
GGGGUUGUGGCUCAGUGGUAGAGUGCUUGCCUAGCAUGUGUGAAGCACUGGGUUCGAUUCUCAGCAACACAU